CCCUAUGGGAAGCACCUGCAAUAAGCAGAUUUCUCUCUCUUUCCCAUACAGCAAAAUGAUCCAUAGGUGAAACUCACCGUAAAGCACUGAGGAACACAAAUUUGCGUUUUGAGGAUGGGAAAACUCAAGUUGAGAAAUGAAAUUGGACUUACCCGAGGUCAUUCAAGGUUCCGGUGCCAUCCCUACCAGGCUGUGACCAUUAGAAGAAGUGAUCUCUGCUUCAGUUCUCUUCAACUUGUCAUUAUCAAGGCUGGCGAUCCCACUACAUGCAGUAUUAGCUCUUUAUUGUCUGUACUAACCUGUCUGAUCAUUCUGCUUCACCUUUGGAGGUAGAUACUGCCUGUGAACUUGAUCCUCUUUCCUCCCAAGUGCCCAAGCCUACUGACAGUCCAGCUGUCACAGUGUCUCACAGUCCAGCUUGAAGUGUCCGAUGCACCGAGGAACAGCAGAAGCCAACUUGGAGUCAUCAGGGAUGCUAGAUAGCUUUGCCUAGUGGUCUCGUUUAGAGCCUUUCUGAUAGACCAGGAGCACUCCACUCAAGGAGAAGGGAGGGGGGCAUGAAUUUUUAACGUAGACAUCCUUUCAUUGGGGAUUUAUUUGGCAUUGGAGCUAAACUGAGCUGAGCACAAUGAAAUGUGCUGUAAAAUACUCAUCAUGAGUUUAAAUUUUUAUUAGAACUUCUCCUUUUGAAUAGUGGCCACGUUACUAAGAUUUGCAGUGCAAAUGCUGUGCCCAUACUUUGCUGACGCUCAGCAGUUGCAGAAGCUACUUCAUUUUUUAGAUACGCAGUCCACGUGUGGAUCUCAUGCCUUCCAUCUUUCCUGAGCAGUGACAUCCCCGUGUUCACUUACGUGUACCCUGAAACUACUGCCUUCUCCCCAGGCCAUCUGUAGCAGACUUUUUAUGUUCGCAAAAUGUCUUGGGAAGCAGGGCAGAUGCCUAUGACAAGGUUAAGCUGAUUGAUAGUAUUUCUGCAGUCAGACGUAGGCAUGCAGGCCUUGCACGUAAUUCUAACGUAGUGCUGCCCUUUUCCUACUAUACCAAGACUCUGGCAAAAGCAGACCACUCUACUUUGGAGGUAGCGUUUGGAGAUAAUCACACAUCCCUCCUUUGCUACUUAGAGCUUUUAUCCUUCUCAUCAGCUGGUUUUUGAUGUUGGCCAAGACAUUGGAUGUUACAUGAAGCUGAAAAUUCCCCAACUACCGCUUUCUCCAGCUUCUCUGCCCAAAGCUUCCUUAAGAAUUUGAACCAAAAAAAACCACUGAAAAUUCCUCAAAUCAUUCUGUCCUCUUACAAAAC
rnacentral:lncRNA from 1 species